rnacentral:rRNA from 1 species
UACAGAGGGUGCAAGCGUUGUUCGGAAUUAUUGGGCGUAAAGAGCGUGUAGGCGGCCAUUCAGGUCAGCUGUGAAAACUCGAGGCUCAACCUCGAGACGUCGGUUGAAACCGUUUGGCUAGAGUCCGGAAGAGGAGAGUGGAAUUCCCGGUGUAGCGGUGAAAUGCGCAGAUAUCGGGAAGAACACCCGUGGCGAAGGCGGCUCUCUGGGACGGUACUGACGCUGAGACGCGAAAGCGUGGGGAGCGAACAGG